rnacentral:rRNA from 2 species
GGUUAAGCGACUAAGCGUACACGGUGGAUGCCCUGGCAGUCAGAGGCGAUGAAGGACGUGCUAAUCUGCGAUAAGCGUCGGUAAGGUGAUAUGAACCGUUAUAACCGGCGAUUUCCGAAUGGGGAAACCCAGUGUGUUUCGACACACUAUCAUUAACUGAAUCCAUAGGUUAAUGAGGCGAACCGGGGGAACUGAAACAUCUAAGUACCCCGAGGAAAAGAAAUCAACCGAGAUUCCCCCAGUAGCGGCGAGCGAACGGGGAGCAGCCCAGAGCCUGAAUCAGUGUGUGUGUUAGUGGAAGCGUCUGGAAAGGCGCGCGAUACAGGGUGACAGCCCCGUACACAAAAAUGCACAUACUGUGAGCUCGAUGAGUAGGGCGGGACACGUGGUAUCCUGUCUGAAUAUGGGGGGACCAUCCUCCAAGGCUAAAUACUCCUGACUGACCGAUAGUGAACCAGUACCGUGAGGGAAAGGCGAAAAGAACCCCGGCGAGGGGAGUGAAAAAGAACCUGAAACCGUGUACGUACAAGCAGUGGGAGCACGCUUCGGCGUGUGACUGCGUACCUUUUGUAUAAUGGGUCAGCGACUUAUAUUCUGUAGCAAGGUUAACCGAAUAGGGGAGCCGAAGGGAAACCGAGUCUUAACUGGGCGUUAAGUUGCAGGGUAUAGACCCGAAACCCGGUGAUCUAGCCAUGGGCAGGUUGAAGGUUGGGUAACACUAACUGGAGGACCGAACCGACUAAUGUUGAAAAAUUAGCGGAUGACUUGUGGCUGGGGGUGAAAGGCCAAUCAAACCGGGAGAUAGCUGGUUCUCCCCGAAAGCUAUUUAGGUAGCGCCUCGUGAAUUCAUCUCCGGGGGUAGAGCACUGUUUCGGCAAGGGGGUCAUCCCGACUUACCAACCCGAUGCAAACUGCGAAUACCGGAGAAUGUUAUCACGGGAGACACACGGCGGGUGCUAACGUCCGUCGUGAAGAGGGAAACAACCCAGACCGCCAGCUAAGGUCCCAAAGUCAUGGUUAAGUGGGAAACGAAGUGGGAAGGCCCAGACAGCCAGGAUGUUGGCUUAGAAGCAGCCAUCAUUUAAAGAAAGCGUAAUAGCUCACUGGUCGAGUCGGCCUGCGCGGAAGAUGUAACGGGGCUAAACCAUGCACCGAAGCUGCGGCAGCGACACUAUGUGUUGUUGGGUAGGGGAGCGUUCUGUAAGCCUGUGAAGGUGUGCUGUGAGGCAUGCUGGAGGUAUCAGAAGUGCGAAUGCUGACAUAAGUAACGAUAAAGCGGGUGAAAAGCCCGCUCGCCGGAAGACCAAGGGUUCCUGUCCAACGUUAAUCGGGGCAGGGUGAGUCGACCCCUAAGGCGAGGCCGAAAGGCGUAGUCGAUGGGAAACAGGUUAAUAUUCCUGUACUUGGUGUUACUGCGAAGGGGGGACGGAGAAGGCUAUGUUGGCCGGGCGACGGUUGUCCCGGUUUAAGCGUGUAGGCUGGUUUUCCAGGCAAAUCCGGAAAAUCAAGGCUGAGGCGUGAUGACGAGGCACUACGGUGCUGAAGCAACAAAUGCCCUGCUUCCAGGAAAAGCCUCUAAGCAUCAGGUAACAUUAAAUCGUACCCCAAACCGACACAGGUGGUCAGGUAGAGAAUACCAAGGCGCUUGAGAGAACUCGGGUGAAGGAACUAGGCAAAAUGGUGCCGUAACUUCGGGAGAAGGCACGCUGAUAUGUAGGUGAAGUCCCUCGCGGAUGGAGCUGAAAUCAGUCGAAGAUACCAGCUGGCUGCAACUGUUUAUUAAAAACACAGCACUGUGCAAACACGAAAGUGGACGUAUACGGUGUGACGCCUGCCCGGUGCCGGAAGGUUAAUUGAUGGGGUUAGCGGUAACGCGAAGCUCUUGAUCGAAGCCCCGGUAAACGGCGGCCGUAACUAUAACGGUCCUAAGGUAGCGAAAUUCCUUGUCGGGUAAGUUCCGACCUGCACGAAUGGCGUAAUGAUGGCCAGGCUGUCUCCACCCGAGACUCAGUGAAAUUGAACUCGCUGUGAAGAUGCAGUGUACCCGCGGCAAGACGGAAAGACCCCGUGAACCUUUACUAUAGCUUGACACUGAACAUUGAGCCUUGAUGUGUAGGAUAGGUGGGAGGCUUUGAAGUGUGGACGCCAGUCUGCAUGGAGCCGACCUUGAAAUACCACCCUUUAAUGUUUGAUGUUCUAACGUUGACCCGUAAUCCGGGUUGCGGACAGUGUCUGGUGGGUAGUUUGACUGGGGCGGUCUCCUCCUAAAGAGUAACGGAGGAGCACGAAGGUUGGCUAAUCCUGGUCGGACAUCAGGAGGUUAGUGCAAUGGCAUAAGCCAGCUUGACUGCGAGCGUGACGGCGCGAGCAGGUGCGAAAGCAGGUCAUAGUGAUCCGGUGGUUCUGAAUGGAAGGGCCAUCGCUCAACGGAUAAAAGGUACUCCGGGGAUAACAGGCUGAUACCGCCCAAGAGUUCAUAUCGACGGCGGUGUUUGGCACCUCGAUGUCGGCUCAUCACAUCCUGGGGCUGAAGUAGGUCCCAAGGGUAUGGCUGUUCGCCAUUUAAAGUGGUACGCGAGCUGGGUUUAGAACGUCGUGAGACAGUUCGGUCCCUAUCUGCCGUGGGCGCUGGAGAACUGAGGGGGGCUGCUCCUAGUACGAGAGGACCGGAGUGGACGCAUCACUGGUGUUCGGGUUGUCAUGCCAAUGGCACUGCCCGGUAGCUAAAUGCGGAAGAGAUAAGUGCUGAAAGCAUCUAAGCACGAAACUUGCCCCGAGAUGAGUUCUCCCUGACUCCUUGAGAGUCCUGAAGGAACGUUGAAGACGACGACGUUGAUAGGCCGGGUGUGUAAGCGCAGCGAUGCGUUGAGCUAACCGGUACUAAUGAACCGUGAGGCUUAACCUUACAACGCCGAAGGUGUUUUG